UGGAGCACGUGGUUUAAUUCGAUGAUAAGCGAAGAACCUUACCAGGGCUUGACCUAGCGGUAGUAGGACCCCGAAAGGGGAACGACCUCAAGCUUUGCUUGAGGAGCCCGUGGCAGGUAUUGCAUGGCUGUCGUCAGCUCGUGUCGUGGGACGUUGGGUUAAGUCCCGUAACGAGCGCAACCCCUGCCCUUAAUUGCCAACGGGUAAUGCCGGGUACUAUAAGGGGACUGCCGGAGAAUAUCCGGAGGAAGGAGGGGACGACGUCAAGUCAUUAUGAUCCUUAUGCUCUGGGCGACACACGUGCUACAAUGGGCACUACAAUGAGGAGCGAUUCCGCAAGGAGGAGCAAAUCUCAAAAAGGUGCCCCCAGUGCGGAUUGGGGUCUGCAACCCGACCCCAUGAAGAUGGAAUCGGUAGUAAUCGCGGGUCAGCCAUACCGCGGUGAAUACGUACUUGGGCCUUGUACACACCGCCCGUC
rnacentral:rRNA from 1 species